GGGCCUGUGAGGUAGUCUGGAUAUCCUGGGUGGCUUCGGACCACUAUACGCCGGUUCGAAUCCGGUCAGGCCCA
rnacentral:tRNA from 1 species